AUAAUUGUAUAAUGUCGAAACAUGUAGUGUGUGAGAUUGCUUUCCAGUUUCAAGGAUUUUUUACUACAUUUUAUCCUGUACAUCCUGCAGCCACUUAAGACCAUCCGGACACUUUAGAUGCUGAUAUUUCAUUGGUGACUCGGGAAGCUUUACCUGGUCAUACUCAUCUCCCCUCCAAGCAGCCAUCCCUAAUUCAGUAAUGAAAAACUAGAGGGAAGGCAGAUAGUCAACACCACCAACUCUUGUACCAACAUACAGUGGGAUUGACCAUCCCAUUAUAUCACCUCCAGGUUUUAAAGAACAAGCAUGUUCAGCAACGGGUAGUCAAACCCAUGACCUGCACAUUGUGAGUUGAGCUCCCUAACCACCAGGCCCAAACUAUGAAUACCACAAGCUUUAUGGAAUUAGAUAUUUAUAAACACUGAUGAGUUAUUAACAAAUUCACAGCCACACAAGAAAAAAAGACUUUUAUAAACAAUCAUUUUAAUUUUUUUACAAUAUAAGUACUUUGCAAUUUCUUUAUUUUGAAUUCAUCUCAUCAACUAGUGUUUUUAUCAUGAAUAAUAGUUACCACUUUUUGCUGCUAUGAAUUGAAGUUUUUCCUGGUCAACUGUGAUAAAACUUAAAAAGAGACAAUCAACUGAUUCAAAUUACUAUGUGAAAUAUUGGAAUAUAAUUCAAUCAAUAUAAUACACACAUGAAAAUAAAUGUAAUUUUACAAUUUUA